GUGUGUGUCGAUGGUCAGGAAGGAGAAAAAGGGGUUCAACCCUAGUUUCACAAAAAUCAUCAAAUUGAGAGGGAAAUUCAGCUCGGAUCUAAUGCAUGUACAUGAAUUCAUGAUCAUCUAGCCCUAUAAAUCACUUGGAUAGGAACUACAUUAACACGUACUCAAGCAUGGAAGGCUAACGGGUCAAGAUGAGGCAAGGAAGCGGCUACGAACACGGAUGCACAAGGUUGAACAAAUCACGGGUGGUUAUCGCGAGGAAUAGAGCUCGUAGAUCGAGUUACAAGCUAGAUUGUACGGGGACAAUUGAAUUUGUAACAAGGACUUAUGCUUCUUUUUUUUAUUGUAAAAGAUACAUAUUAAAACGUACCUUCAUGUAAGACAAGACGUUAAUGAUCAAAGAAAUUUUAU